rnacentral:lncRNA from 1 species
CAAAGCCUUCAUUUUAAGAGGACUAACAGACAAACCAAUUUUUUAUUUCCUACCAGCUAUACUUCUUGGAUUGAACUCUGCCAUUCCCUGGAACAAGAUUGUGAGCUCUUCGAUGGCAAGGACCCAGUUUUCUGACUCUCUUCGUAUCCUCAGAACUUGGUACAAUGCUUGCUAUGAGUGACUAAUAAAUUAUUGCUGAUGGACUCA